rnacentral:rRNA from 1 species
GAUGAACGCUGGCGGCGUGCCUAAUACAUGCAAGUCGAGCGAACGGACGAGAAGCUUGCUUCUCUGAUGUUAGCGGCGGACGGGUGAGUAACACGUGGAUAACCUACCUAUAAGACUGGGAUAACUUCGGGAAACCGUAGCUAAUACCGGAUAAUAUUUUGAACCGCAUGGUUCAAAAGUGAAAGACGGUCUUGCUGUCACUUAUAGAUGGAUCCGCGCUGCAUUAGCUAGUUGGUAAGGUAACGGCUUACCAAGGCAACGAUGCAUAGCCGACCUGAGAGGGUGAUCGGCCACACUGGAACUGAGACACGGUCCAGACUCCUACGGGAGGCAGCAGUAGGGAAUCUUCCGCAAUGGGCGAAAGCCUGACGGAGCAACGCCGCGUGAGUGAUGAAGGUCUUCGGAUCGUAAAACUCUGUUAUUAGGGAAGAACAUAUGUGUAAGUAACUGUGCACAUCUUGACGGUACCUAUCAGAAAGCCACGGCUAACUACGUG